GGGAGCUUGCUCCCUGAGAUUAGCGGCGGACGGGUGAGUAACACGUGGGCAACCUGCCUAUAAGACUGGGAUAACUUCGGGAAACCGGAGCUAAUACCGGAUACGUUCUUUUCUCGCAUGAGAGAAGAUGGAAAGACGGUUUACGCUGUCACUUAUAGAUGGGCCCGCGGCGCAUUAGCUAGUUGGUGAGGUAAUGGCUCACCAAGGCGACGAUGCGUAGCCGACCUGAGAGGGUGAUCGGCCACACUGGGACUGAGACACGGCCCAGACUCCUACGGGAGGCAGCAGUAGGGAAUCUUCCGCAAUGGACGAAAGUCUGACGGAGCAACGCCGCGUGAACGAAGAAGGCCUUCGGGUCGUAAAGUUCUGUUGUUAGGGAAGAACAAGUACCAGAGUAACUGCUGGUACCUUGACGGUACCUAACCAGAAAGCCACGGCUAACUACGUGCCAGCAGCCGCGGUAAUACGUAGGUGGCAAGCGUUGUCCGGAAUUAUUGGGCGUAAAGCGCGCGCAGGUGGUUCCUUAAGUCUGAUGUGAAAGCCCACGGCUCAACCGUGGAGGGUCAUUGGAAACUGGGGAACUUGAGUGCAGAAGAGGAAAGUGGAAUUCCAAGUGUAGCGGUGAAAUGCGUAGA
rnacentral:rRNA from 1 species